GAUGAACGCUGGCGGCGUGCCUAAUACAUGCAAGUCGAGCGAACGGACGAGAAGCUUGCUUCUCUGAUUUUAGCGUCGGACGGGUGAGUAACACGUGGAUAACCUACCUAUAAGACUGGGAUAACUUCGUGAAACCGGAGCUAAUACCGGAUAAUAUUUUGAACCGCAUGGUUCAAAAGUGAAAGACGGUCUUGCUGUCACUUAUAGAUGGAUCCGCGCUGCAUUAGCUAGUUGGUAAGGUAACGGCUUACCAAGGCAACGAUGCAUAGCCGACCUGAGAGGGUGAUCGGCCACACUGGAACUGAGACACGGUCCAGACUCCUACGGGAGGCAGCAGUAGGGAAUCUUCCGCAAUGGGCGAAAGCCUGACGGAGCAACGCCGCGUGAGUGAUGAAGGUCUUCGGAUCGUAAAACUCUGUUAUUAGGGAAGAACAUAUGUGUAAGUAACUGUGCACAUCUUGACGGUACCUAAUCAGAAAGCCACGGCUAACUACGUG
rnacentral:rRNA from 1 species